GAGCUGACUUUUAUUUUGAUUUUGACAGUUGUCUGAAGUGAUCUCAUGCCUUGAAUCACGUGUGCAUGUUUGUUUGAAAGUACAACAGUAGUGUCCUUUCCAGCCUGUAAGUUUUGUACUUAAACUUGUUUAAAUUUGGAGAAUGAUCUUGCUUUAUGAAUUUUGUGAAGCAUAGUGUUUUGCCCUCGAAUCUUGGAGUGAUUCUUGCUUGGAUUUAUCCUUGUAUAUUUAUGGUGAAAU
rnacentral:lncRNA from 1 species